AUGUCCCCCGUGUGCAGGGCACUGAGAUGUCCCCCCUGUGUCCAGGCCCAGACCCCUGCUGGAAUGGAGGAGCAGCUGGGCUGUCUGGACCCCUCCCUGAACCUGGGCUGUCAGCCCUCAGCUCUGCAAGGCAUGGCUCAUCUGACCUCCACAAAUCAACCGGACGCUGGGGGCAGGGACCAUGAACGACCAGCAGCAGCAUGUGAAGGCCCUGGGAGCCCCCUGGGAGCUCCCGAGAUUGCUUUGGGAACCUGCGGGGGAAGGAAUGGGGAUCAGAGGAGAACGGCCCCGCAGAGCCCGUCCCCAACCAAGCCCUUGCUGUGGAAGUGCGUUUCUAGUCCCACUGCCCCUCCAUCGUGCUCUGGGCCCCAGCUCACUGCUGACCAGCUCUGCUGCCUCCAUGGUGCCCUCGGCAAGGCAGGGCGGGGGAGGGGCAGGGUCCCUCUUUCAGCUGCUCUGGGAUGUGCACCGCCCUCUGCCCCCUUACACCCUGCUCUGCAAGACGAGGCACGGGUAUCCCGGAAGGAGGGACAUGGGCGGAUGACCGAGGCCUUGUGCCUGGCGUGGCUUGUGAGGGAGAACACCCGGACGUCUGUUCAGCAGGAACUUGGCGACCGAAGACGGAGAGGUGGGGGUUCUGCCCUCCCUGGGGAGCAGCGCGGGUCUGCAGGCCACGAUCCCUCUCCUGCAGCCAAGGUCCCCUUCACCCGCACUCACGGGUGGGAAGGGAGCACACGCUUAACUCUGUCUCUGCCUUGUCCUCCUUCAGUGUCUCCUCAUUGGGCACCGGCCUCUUCCUCGCCUGCCUGCCUGCGGGUGCCUUGAGUGCACGGCUGUGCUGGUUUUCAGCGUCGGCGAGGGGCAUCCGGGGGCUGAGGAGAAGACACUCGCGGCAGCCUUCUGUUUGCAGGCCUUGGGUUCCUGUUCCAGCGUCUCUUACCUGAGCUCCCCUGUGCGGAAGGAGCAAUGCCAGCACCGGGACCCAGGAGGUGAGCAAGGCAGAAGUCUAACACCUUUCUCGGGGGGAGGGGUCGGGGAUCCAGCUUCCUACUCAUGUCCUGGAAGGAAAACAGCUCUCCCCCCCCCCCCCGCCCCAAACCCUUCCAUCCCACCCUCAGGAGGAGCCCGCCCCAGCAGUGACCUCCAGGCUUCGUGCAAAGACCCUAGACCCUUCCCGCUGCCCAUCCUUGCCUAGGGGAGCCUGCCCUUCCUGCAGAGGAACACACUGGGGUCAGGCCUGAGACCUUUUCCCACCACUGUGUUCUGCCACGUGUGGCCUCUGGUAGAGGUACUCACCGCCCCCCCCCCCCGAAGGGUCUCGAGUCAGUGCAGAGGCCUGGAGGGAGACAGGACCAUGGGCUCAGGGACUGCCAGACCCUCCCCGAGCACCCACGCGGGAAAGAGCCCACUCAGCUCACCAGAAGUGGUCUACGGUGCAGUGAGUCCACCCGUCGCGAGUGUCUUUUCUCUGCGUAAGGCAUGGCCAUCUCACGCUACUGUGGCGAUCAGCAGGCAAGCAGGCGCCCGCGCUGGGGAAGGAAAGAGGUCUUGUUCUCUCACCUGCAAGGAGAGCUGGAAGAGCGUCCUGUGGGGGGCGCACCUGCUAGGAAGCGUGUCGGGCCCCUCCCCUUCCCAGGGCGGGGUUUCCCGAAGGCCUCACAGGUGCUCCCUGAGAUCCGCUUUUCACUCUGAGGUCGGUGCCUGCUUUUCCAGGCGACGCUGAAACAGCAGCAGCUGGUCAGGGCAGGCGCUGCCCUCUGCCCUGGGAGCUUCUUCAGCCCUGCCUGCAGGCCCCAGGAGGCGGGCUCCAGGGGUCCGGCCCGUGGAACAGGGCUCACCACCUGCACCGACGCCCUGGCAGGUAUGUCC
rnacentral:lncRNA from 1 species